rnacentral:rRNA from 1 species
GACGAACGCUGGCGGCGUGCUUAACACAUGCAAGUCGAACGGAAAGGCCUCUUUCGGGGGGUACUCGAGUGGCGAACGGGUGAGUAACACGUGAGUAACCUGCCCUUGACUUUGGGAUAACUUCAGGAAACUGGGGCUAAUACCGGAUAGGAGCUCCUGCUGCAUGGUGGGGGUUGGAAAGUUUCGGCGGUUGGGGAUGGACUCGCGGCUUAUCAGCUUGUUGGUGGGGGAGUGGCUUACCAAGGCUUUGGCGGGUAGCCGGCCUGGGAGGGUGACCGGCCACAUUGGGGCUGGGAUACGGCCCAGACUCCUACGGGGGGCAGCAGUGGGGAAUGUUGCACAAUGGGUGGGAGCCUGAUGCAGCAACGCCGGGUGCGGGAUGACGGCCUUCGGGUUGUAAACCGCUUUCGCUCAUGACGAAGCUUUGUGUGACGGUAGUGGGUAAAGAAGCACCGGCUAACUACGUG